UGAAUACUUCUGUGUGUGUGUUAUCGCCAGCUGACAUCAAAAUUGGUGAAUGAAUAUUUGAUGGAGAAUCUUUGUUAGAAGAGGUUUUCCACAAAAUAUUC